UACGGAGGGAGCUAGCGUUGUUCGGAAUUACUGGGCGUAAAGCGCACGUAGGCGGCUUUGUAAGUUAGAGGUGAAAGCCUGGGGCUCAACCCCAGAAUUGCCUUUGAUACUGCAUGGCUUGAAUCCAGGAGAGGUGAGUGGAAUUCCGAGUGUAGAGGUGAAAAUUCGUAGAUAUUCGGAAGAACACCAGUGGCGAAGGCGGCUCACUGGACUGGUAU
rnacentral:rRNA from 1 species